rnacentral:rRNA from 1 species
AGAACGAACGCUGGCGGCAGGCUUAACACAUGCAAGUCGAACGCCCCGCAAGGGGAGUGGCAGACGGGUGAGUAACGCGUGGGAAUCUACCCAGUUCUACGGAAUAACACAGGGAAACUUGUGCUAAUACCGUAUACGCCCUACGGGGGAAAGAUUUAUCGGGAUUGGAUGAGUCCGCGUUGGAUUAGCUAGUUGGUGGGGUAAUGGCCUACCAAGGCGACGAUCCAUAGCUGGUCUGAGAGGAUGAUCAGCCACACUGGGACUGAGACACGGCCCAGACUCCUACGGGAGGCAGCAGUGGGGGAAUAUUGGACAAUGGGCGCAAGCCUGAUCCAGCCAUGCCGCGUGAGUGAUGAAGGCCUUAGGGUUGUAAAGCUCUUUCAGUGGGGAAGAUAAUGACGGUACCCACAGAAGAAGCCCCGGCUAACUUCGUGCCAGCAGCCGC